CUGAUACUUGGUCUAUGAGUUGAUACCGAAAGGAGUCCUCAUAGCCAAAUUCACCUCUUGUGCACUAUAUUGUCUUUUGGUAGUUUAUACCUUGGUAUAGGCUGCCAAGCUUUAUAACAAACCAUAGAAACUUGUCUGAAAUUAUUAUUAAAUAUAAA
rnacentral:misc_RNA from 1 species